GCUGUAUCUACAGGGAAGCAAAAUGAACAGCAGCGGACAAGUAGGGUCACAGUGCCUCCCCUCGCCUCCAAGGGUUUACCAGAUGCUUUGGAGAAAGAAGCAGCAAGAAGAGGAACUAAGAGAUCAAGGGGGUGCUGAAAGAAGCUGACAACUGAUAGAUCAGCAGGAGAAGAACCAUAGGAAUAUGUUCCACAUGUGCAUGGGUGCCACAGAAAAUAUGAAACGCAAAGAAGGGCCA